CCUACGGGGGGCAGCAGUGAGGAAUAUUGGUCAAUGGGCGCGAGCCUGAACCAGCCAAGUCGCGUGAGGGAAGACGGUCCUAUGGAUUGUAAACCUCUUUUGUCGGGGAGCAAAAGACGCCACGCGUGGCGUUCCGAGAGUACCCGAAGAAAAAGCAUCGGCUAACUCCGUGCCAGCAGCCGCGGUAAUACGGAGGAUGCGAGCGUUAUCCGGAUUUAUUGGGUUUAAAGGGUGCACAGGCGGAAGAUCAAGUCAGCGGUAAAAUUGAGAGGCUCAACCUCUUCGAGCCGUUGAAACUGGUUUUCUUGAGUGAGUGAGAAGUAUGCGGAAUGCGUGGUGUAGCGGUGAAAUGCAUAGAUAUCACGCAGAACUCCGAUUGCGAAGGCAGCAUACCGGCGCUCAACUGACGCUCAUGCACGAAAGUGUGGGUAGCGAACAGGAUUAGAUACCCGGGUAGUC
rnacentral:rRNA from 1 species